AAUAUGGAUGUUUUUCUUACAAAAAUGCAUUGCUUCGCUUCAGAAAGCCUUUAUUAACCCCCUGGCCCCGUGUGGUUAUCUUGAUGGAUAGUUGCACUUUAUUGGGCUUCAAAAUCUCAUCCUCUAUUCACUCUGAUUAUAAAGCUUGGAAGAGCAGGACAUUAUUUAAUAUAACUCUGAUUGAAUUUGUCUGAAAGAAGAAAAUCAUAUACUCCUAGGAUGGCAUGAGAGUGAGUAAAUCAUGAGGUAAUUUUCAUUUUUGGGUGGACUAACCCUUCAAGGCCCUGAAUAUACUUCAAGUGAAAUCUAAGAAUGAACUGAUAUGACAUCAUUUCGAACAAAAUUCGGGCCAAAACAAAUAUUUGUUUGUGUGUUCAUUUCAGGAGUUUGAAAUGGCUUGCCAAAGUGAACUUUCUAGAAAGUUUCGGAGUUUGCUCUGGCUGGUAAACACCUUCGAACUCCCAUUGGUCAAUGUUGAUUAUGUAAUUGGUAGGUGUGUGCUGAGGCUCCGCCUUCUUUCUUCUCUGCUUCAUUUCUUCAGAGUCUGUCGAGGUCAGACGUUCACUGAACACACUGGAGAGUCACUUUAUAGUAGAAAAUGAAGUUGUACUUAUGAAGUGUUUUUCAUGUUUAAUACUGUAAAGCUGUGUGUUUUUAAGCAGUCUGUUGGAUAAAGCACUAUAUAAAUAACGUGACUUGACUUUACUGGAGUACUGAACUGCAGAGCUGGUGCAAACAGAUCCAUGUUGCCAUGAUCAGAUGCUUUUCUUAGGCUUUCUUUAUAAAAAGUCUUGCUGUUUUCUCAUUUUUGUUGUAUGUUUAUUUCGUUAUUGAGAGGAAAGCACAGCACAUAUUUACAUAUUCAUCUAAAUGCUCCUCUCAGUAAUGUGGGCGGUGUUGGAUGUUGGAUAACAGUCAUUAAUUUUUACAGUCGAACUUCAUUUUUACCCCCAGGCAAAGAACGAAAAACUUCACCAUGAGUAUAUCAGGGCCUUUAGCAGUCACUAGCCCACUUUCCUCAGUCAAAAGAUGAAAUGUCACUCAUUGGCAGCUUAUAUGGGACCGCCCAUUUUGGCACGCUAAGAUGCCAUUGGUCUGUACGUGAUUCAAUCAGGCUUUCCCCAGACUUUCCCCACAGCGUCAGAAACUGUACAAUGUCUUAUUCCCGUCUAUCUCAGGGAACCAAGGUUACGUUAGAAACCAAAACACUUUUACUGUAUUUUUGGUCAAAUAAAUGCAGCUUUGGUGAGCAUAAGAGAUUUCUUUCAAAAACAUUUAAAAAACUUACUGACCCCAAACUUUUGAACAUUAGCACACCUGACAGCAAAAUUCACUAAAUUUAUUAAGACUGUGUUUUAAGUAUAAACCUUUUUAAAUAUAUUAUAUUUUAUUUCUUAUUUUAUAACCUUUUCUGUGGUGUGUGACUGAGGAUGAGAUGUUAUAUUUUCUAUUUGAUUUGUUUUUAAUAAUAUCAAUACAUUGUCUUAGUCUGGACACUUGAGGACAGUCAUGAUAUGAUUUUAGUACUGUAUGUUGUGAGGCUGAAACUGUAAAUAAAUAAAAGGAAAAGAAGGUUGACAUUACGUUUCAACAUUACUGUACAAAUAGAAAGUACUGGUAGUUAGAAUGCAAUUUUUCAAGGAGGAUUGUAGAACAAGAAAAUCCCAUUUUCAACAUGAUAAAAAUAAUGUGUUUCUUGAGCAGCAAAUCAUCAUAUUAGAAUGAUUUCUGAAGGAUCAUGUGACGCUGAAGACUGGAGUAAUUAUGCUGAAAAUUCAGCUUUGAUCACAGGAAUAAAUUACAUUGUUCACACAAAAAACGGUUCUUUAAAAUUGUAAUAAUAGUUCACAAAUGACCGUUUUUAUUGUAUUUUUGAUUAAAUGCAGCUUUAGUGAGCAAGAGCUUUCUUUCAAAAACGUUUAAAAAUCUUACUGAACCCAAAUUAUUAAAUAGUUAUUUAUUAAAACAGUUAAUGUUUUGAGCAUAAACCUCAUAAAAAAUUUAGUAUUUUAUUUCUUAUUUUAUAAUAGCCUUUUCUGUGAAAUUUUCUUAUUCUGGACGCUUGAGGAAAGUCAUGAUAUGAUUUUAGUACUGUAUGUUGUGAGGCUGAAACAUCUGUGAAAGUGUAAAUAAAUGCCAUUUAAAUACACAAACCCUUUGAAUUCACUACUUUCUGUUUACCAGCACUUCUUUGUUCACAUAAAUACAGGUACUGGGAGAGAAAAAACCCUGAUUUACGGUUCAGUGCAAAAGAGAAGUUUUACAGUAAUGCAGUUCAUUGUGUCCUGUUGUUAUUAGAUCAUGAUUUGAAGAACUGAUACACAUAUGAUACGAAACCAUUAAGGAGAGAUUUUUCCACUGGUUUGUUUCAUUAAAGGAGAACAGCAAUGGUGCUUCUGUACCUUUCAGCUUUUCUUUGUCAUAUUGUGGCAUUGUCUUGUAUGUCCUCAGCAGAGAGACAUUUGGUUUGCUCCUCAGAAAGUGUUAGUCUUUGGUACAGCUACGAUGGGCCGUUGUAUCUCCUGUCAGUGACUGGAUCUGCUCUGUAGGAAUGACUUUGUACAAUUUAACAUAUACAGUAAUUCCAAUGUUCAGCACCACACGUAUGGGGUGUCAUGCUCUCCUUCACUAUGAAGGUCAGCUGUGGUUUGAUCACGUUCAGCCAGAAGUUUCUUGUGAACAUUCUGAAAAUAUGUGACAUCAUCAAAGGAGAAACACUUCAUGACACAGUUCCAAUUUAUUUGAGAACAUUUUAUCCCCCUGAGGGCGAAUAUCAGGUUUAUGCGAAUGUGACACUUGUUGAUGACCUUGAAAACAUCCAAACAGUCCAUUUCAAUAUCACUGGACAAGUGAAAUAUCGUGAUGUUGUGAACAAAAGCUUUCAGUAGAUGGAAGUGAUGAAGGACAGACUAUGGUGUUUCUUUUCCUGUUCUGGAGCAGAUUCUCCAUUCUGUGUUUUCUGAUAAGAUCAAGUGAUUUCAGUGGUUAAUUCAUAUUCAUAUUUGGAGUUCUCAUAUUAGAUUUUGUCUCAUUAAAGGUAAAAUAUCUCAAAGUAUUGGUAUGCAUAGUGUUUUUAUGACAUUUUAAUCUACUUGGGAACUGGUUUUGAUCAGACUUCAUACUCUGCUGGAUUGUUCUCAUUGUUGAUGGUUGUUGAUUUCUUUGUGUUUGAUCUAAAAAAUAAUCUGACAUAAAUAACGCUUUAUUUUCCUAAAGGUGAAGUUUUGACUGUUCCAGCAGUGUGGUUGCCAUACAUCCUCAUGAAAACACACUGAUGUGAACAGCUGGGAGUUUGUUUCAGUUUUAAUACAUUAAAUAUUUUCAGAAACUGUAAGUCAUCAUGUUUGUGAUGCUGAAACAUGUAAAAAAAACUAAAUAAAGUUUCCUGCUUGUAUCAUGAUUUCA